AAAGUCGUAACAAGGUCUCCGUAGGUGAACCUGCGGGGGGAUCAUCAAAGAAUUUUACACUUGCCAAGUUGUGGUUCUUCGGAAACAUGGCUUGGUACAAACAAACGAUCACAACUAUAUAAGAAAGGGGGGAAGCUGAAGAAAUACAAGUGUUUGCCUGAUAAAUAAGAUUGACUUGGAAAUCUAACAAUCUAUACAACUUUCAACAACGGAUCUCUUGGCUCUC
rnacentral:misc_RNA from 1 species